rnacentral:rRNA from 1 species
UAGGGAAUCUUCGGCAAUGGACGAAAGUCUGACCGAGCAACGCCGCGUGAGUGAAGAAGGUUUGCGGAUCGUAAAACUCUGUUGUUAGAGAAGAACAAGGACGUUAGUAACUGAACGUCCCCUGACGGUAUCUAACCAGAAAGCCACGGCUAACUACGUGCCAGCAGCCGCGGUAAUACGUAGGUGGCAAGCGUUGUUCGGAUUUAUUGGGCGUAAAGCGAGCGCAGGCGGUUUCUUAAGUCUGAUGUGAAAGCCCCCGGCUCAACCGGGGAGGGUCAUUGGAAACUGGGUGAAUUGAGUGCAGAAGAGGAGAGAGGAAUUCCAUGUGUAGCGGUGAAAUGCGUAGAUAUAUGGAGGAACACCAGUAGCGAAGGCGGCUCUCUGGUCUGUAACUGACGCUGAGGCUCGAAAGCGUGGGGAGCAAACAGG